rnacentral:lncRNA from 1 species
GUAAAUGUUCUGAAGAGCUCAGAGAAAGGGAAGACAGAUGAGCUGGAAUUGUCAGUGGAAGCUUCUUGUAGGAGCUGGUGCUCCCCCUGAGGAAUGUACAGCAUUUGUGAUUAGGACACUGAGAAUCCCCAGUGUCCUCUGGGCACCCAGCAAGAAUUCUAUUAUAGUUGCUUUAAUUAAUGCUGCCCCCAUUUCUUCCAUGCAAAUUAUCAGGGAAUUCUUUAGCACCAGAGACCCUCUCAGACCUCUGGUCAUCAGCUUAUGGGAAACCCUGGGUUCCUAUAAACACUGCUCCUACUUUUUUCUAGUCACUCCUGGGGGCCUCUUCCACCUUGACUACUCCCUGCCCC